AUAUAUAUUCUACUGUGAAGAACAAAACCCUAGUAGAGCGUUUUUCCCUCCCGAAUCAGUGAGCUUCACCAACGCCACCGCUACUGGAGCUGGCACCGGCGCCGCCGUUACUCUAAACAGAAGAUUUGUCUCCUUCUCUUCUCCGAUUCAUGUUCGCACUGCUUCUCCCUGUGAAUUUUCUUCCAAUCUCACGUUAAGGUUUGAGUUUUUUCCCAAAUCAGUGGAGGCUUCACCAACGCCACCGCCAUUGGAGCUGCGCCGGCGCCAACGUUACCCUAAACAGAAGACUGGUCUCCUUCUCUUCUUCAAGUUCAUGUUUGCAUUGCUUCUCUCUGCGAAUUCUUUUCGAAUCUCUCAUUAAGGUUUGGGUUUUUUUUGUGCUUUCUACAUCACAUUACACUAAUUUUCUACAAUAGACUGCUAAUUUGAUUAGUUAAUUUUUUAUUUUGCUUGAUUUCUUAUAUGCUCUGUGAUUAUGUUGCAUGCAAAUAACGUGUUUGAUGAUUUGCCUCAAUAAAGAGUUUAAGCUUGUGACAUAUUUUUACAUGCUUAAUUUGGCUUGAAUCUGACAAAAACAUAUGCUUACAUGCUUAAUUUGCCUCAAUAAAGAGUUUAAGCUUAUGGUUUCUUUUUUUGAAUCUGACAAAAACAUAUUUUUAUAUGCUUAAUUUGGCUUGAAUGACUGCUCAAUCUUCCUCAUCUUCACUUCUUUUCUCAUUUAGAAUCUUCUUAUAUAACUUGCAAAGCAUUUAAUUUUAUUUCUUAUCUUGUUGCAUAUUAAGGAUCUUGUUCGGUUUUAUGUUGGUUGAAAUGAAGAAGUUGUAGUUUAGGAACUUUUGAUAUUAGCAUAAUAGUAGUAGUAGUAGUAAAGUUCCUAAUUGCUACUUCAUUUUCAUUUAUGCCUGAAAUCAAUCUCUUUAAAAACAUGCUAAUUUUUGUUCUGUUUCUCUGCCUUCUUUUAUUAUUAUCUUUAAUUCUCUGCCAAUCUGUUGUUGAAAUGCAAUACAACAACAAAUUUAGAUUUCAAGAACAUUGAAGGAGUUUUUUUUAUGGGUUCUCAGUUUUUCAUUCCAAGUCUAAAUUUAAACCUGGCAUAUUAGAGUACAAUUAUUAUUCAAAGAGUAGAAAUUAUUCUUAUUUAUUAAUUUGAUUGUUAAAAAACUAAAACAAUUCCUACAUUGCAUACUCCUUUGGCUUGAUUUUGUUCAUAUUAAGAUGUUUAAUCUUGCAUUUUUUUUGUUUGGAUUAUUCCUUUUCAAAUUGAUAUAUGGAUUACGGUUCAAUUAGAUUAUGGAAUUAUUAUUGAUUCAUGCUUUCUUGAUUAUGACAAGUUCCAACUAGUUUUUCUGACAUACAUUGGUUUGGCCCUAUUUUUGUACUUGUUAUAAGAACAAAAAGUAUUAAAAGUAUAUAGUGUACCUGUUAGAAUCCUCUGAGCUGUUCUCCAAAAUUGAAGGGGGAGCCAUUGUUGUUGUUAGUUUUAAUAUGAUGUGUCACUGAUCUAUCACUUGCGUUUGACUCUAUCAGUUGUAUAUAACCUGUGUAUGGCUCAAUAUAAAGCCAAGAUUACCCUCCAAGACAUGGUCCCUUUCAGUCAUGUCAUCUAUGACUUGCUCCAUUUCCUCCAUCAGGUGAUGGAGUUUCAUUAUCCUUCUUUUCUUCUCUAAGUAAUGUUCAAAGCACCUCUUUAUAUGGUACCUACUCUACCUCAAUGCAUCCAGCAUGUUCUCUGUUAUGGAAUUCAUGCGCUUCAACUUCGAUGCUGAAGAAGAAGCAGCAGCCAUUUCUGAAAAAGUUCUUGAUCACAAAACAAUAGCUCGUCUUCAGGCUGCAUGUUUCUUUAACACACGUUAUUUGACAAAUUGAUUUCACAUCUUUGAAACCAAAUUCAGUUGGCAGAUGCAAAGGAUGUAUUGGAAGGCAUUCAAGAUGUGAAAGGUGUUAGUUUUCCUAUAUUAACUCCAAACCUAAAGUAAGAUAUAUAUGCUUUAAAAAUUAUUAUUUCCAUCAUAGUAAAUUAUAUAAUCAGCCAUUUGACUGGUUUGAACUCUGCGGUUUGAAUUCUGUUUAUUUUUUUUUUUGCUGAACUCUGUGAUUUGAAUUCUGUUUAUUUUAUUUCUCAAAUAAAUUAUUGCUUCAACUUGGUGGGUGCUUUUCUCCAUAUAUAUGCAUGCUCGAUUGAUUGUUUUUUAGCAUACCAUUCAUGAUGGAGGAGAUGUUCCGGUCUAUGAGUGAUAUCAGACUAUCAGAAAUGGAAGUGGAUCCACCACCAAUCUUCAGUCAAAGGUCUGAUUUCCAAUUCUUGCUGCAACACAUUGAAAGCAAUUCUCAGUAACCUAGCAAAACUUUAGUGUUCAUACACAGUUAUACUUUCUUAUUUCUAUUGAUUUGAUUUGAGUUUGGUGUGAGGAGUGUAAAUUGAGUGAAGAGGUGAGGGAUUGUAAUUAUUUUUUUUGUAUCUAUUCCUUUUCAUUUGUUUUCUGGAAGUUCCCUAUUUUUUAUUCUUCUAGGGCCUUCUUUUCAAGAAGAAGGAAUACCACAGUGAAAUUUGAUAUUGCUGUACAGUAUAAAUUUUGAAAGGAAUGAAAUGAAGGAAAGCUUAUUUUUGUUA